GCUCCCUGCUCAUCCUUCUGAAGUCAUCUCAGGGCUUUUGAAUUCUUUCCUCAUUGCCUGAUAUUCCCAAGGAAUAAAAUGCUACAUUCAAGGAACAGUAGGUCAAGAGCUGAGCACUGAGGACGCAGAAGUGGAGGAGUUUCAGACCUGCCCUUAAGUCUUCAUGCUAGGGGCCAGCAGAAGCCCUGCUGUGCAGAAAGAUGAAGGCAGCAGCUCCCAGCACCUGGCGGGCGGGUCUCUGCACUGCUUACUCUUGCCUAAGUGAUGGAACAGGACCCGAGGAACUGGUCUUCCCUGCUCCCCUCCCGUGGGCGGGCUGGAAGAGAUUCCUUCUCUGCAGAUAGAAAUAAACCUCACUCAAGGUUCCUAAAGUUGUAGGAUGUCUCCAUGAUGUAAAGAUGGGUGGCAUGUCCUUAUCACUCAAGCCUAAACACCUCCUUGAGCAGGCACCUCCAGGUGCAUCUACAGACAAGAAAAUGAGUAAUCACCAGUCCAUGCAGUGAAGUCCACAAAAAGAGUGUGAGAACAGUGCAUGGGAACCCAGAUAAGUGGGUGCCUGGCUGUAUUAUAGGUAGGGAAGGCAGUUAAGGAAAACUUCUCAGAAAAGGAGGGGGCCAGGAAGUGGCAUACCCAGUGAAGCGCAUAUGUCACCAUGCAUAAAGACCCAGGUUUGAGCUCUCUCUCCCUACCUGCAGGGAGUCCACUUCACCAGUGGUAAGAGGGGUCUAUAGGUGUCUCUCUCUUUCUCUCCCUCUCUAUCCCCUCUCCCCCUCUUUAUUUCCCUAUGUCCUGUCAAAUUAAAAAAAAAAAAAAAGUAGAAAUGACUGCCAGGAGCCAUAGUUUCAUCUUGCAGGCACCAACCCCCCAGCAAUAGCCCUGGUAGCAAAAGAAAAAAAAAAAGGAAAGAAAAAGAAAAUAAAACUUCUCAGAACAGGACUCUGGAGUUGAGUCAUUAAGAAGGAAAAAUAAAUCAAAAAGAGAUUGGCCGGGAGAUGAGAUAGUGACUAAAACACUGGACUUAGAGCCAGGACACCUCAGGUUCAAUCCCCGGCAUCACACAUGUCAGAGUGAUGCUGCAGUCCUCUUCUUUUUCACUAGUAUAAAUCAUGAAAGGAACCAUUUUUAAAAGAGAAAACACAUGAUCUAAACAAAAGGGAUUUACAAAUCAAAAUCAGAGGGAAGGAUAUCUAGGCAAGGAAAUAGUAGAAUCUGAGUCAGGUUGGAAGACAAACUCAACAA